GAAUUUGCUAAUGCAGUUUAUCACUUAAAAAGCCAUACGACUGCUAAGGAUGAGUACUUUGCUGCAGCACAUUUAAACCUAAUUGUCAGAGGAGAAAAGCAAGCGGAUUUCAGAGGUGAGUUAGAAGAGCAUCCUUAUGAGGAUGAUGUCUUCACUAAAUCAGUGGUGCAAUGCAGCAAGCAGGGUGGAAAGGAGUCUCCUCUGGAUAAAGUCCUGUGACUCAUUUAAAAAGACUGAACAUCACUUUGACGUACACAAACAGAACUAGAAAGCAGCUCAAGCCAAUGAAACAAAGCUUGUUUUGCAGGAAAACAUUAGGUAAACAUUCCUAGAAAGACAGAAGUGAAAUGCCUGGCAGGAACUACAGCAAGCAUCUGCUGCUCAGUGGUUAAAGAUUGCCCAGCAAAGUCAAGGGGACACGAGAAGAGAGCAGGGCUGAAGCUGAGGUCAUACCCAAGGAUCUUUCUACAUUCCUCCAAAGGGUGGAAAUCCCACCCUACCACACAUUCUCCUAGAUCAUAUGGGAGAUCUU